CCUACGGGGGGCAGCAGUGGGGAAUAUUGGGCAAUGGGCGCAAGCCUGACCCAGCAACGCCGCGUGAAGGAUGAAGGCCCUCGGGUUGUAAACUUCUUUUAUUCGGGAAGAAACAAAUGACGGUACCGAAUGUAUAAGCCACGGCUAACUACGUGCAAGCAGCCGCGGUAAUACGUAGGUGGCAAGCGUUAUCCGGAUUUACUGGGUGUAAAGGGCGUGUAGGCGGGAGGGCAAGGCAGACGUGAAAUUCCAGGGCUCAAACCUGGAACUGCGGUUGAAACUGUUCUUCUUGAGUGAUGGAGAGGCAGGCGGAAUGCGGUGUGUAGCGGUGAAAUGCGUAGAUAUACGGAAGAACACCAAUGGCGAAGGCAGCGUACGGGAGAUAAACUGACGCUGAGGCGCGAAAGCGUGGGGAGCAAACAGGAUUAGAUACCCCUGUAGUC
rnacentral:rRNA from 1 species